GUCAUUGGCAUCUUACUGGGCAGCGUUGGAUGUUUUAUCUGUUUCUAAUACUGCCUGGUAAAGAUGUUGAUGGC
rnacentral:pre_miRNA from 1 species